GAUGAACGCUGGCUACAGGCUUAGCACAUGCAAGUCGAGGGGAAACGACGGGGAAGCUUGCUUCCCCGGGCGUCGACCGGCGCACGGGUGAGUAACGCGUAUCCAACCUGCCUCUGACUGAGGGAUAACCCGUCGAAAGUCGGCCUAAUACCUCAUGGUAUCGUCUGCGGGCAUCCAACGACGAUUAAAGAUUUCAUCGGUCAGGGAUGGGGAUGCGUCUGAUUAGCUUGUUGGCGGGGUAACGGCCCACCAAGGCUACGAUCAGUAGGGGUUCUGAGAGGAAGGUCCCCCACAUGGGAACUGAGACACGGUCCAAACUCCUACGGGAGGCAGCAGUGAGGAAUAUUGGUCAAUGGGCGAGAGCCUGAACCAGCCAAGUAGCGUGCAGGAAGACGGCCCUAUGGGUUGUAAACUGCUUUUAUGCGGGGAUAAAGUGAGGGACGUGUCCCUCAUUGCAGGUACCGCAUGAAUAAGGACCGGCUAAUUCCGUG
rnacentral:rRNA from 1 species